CCAACCGAUGGAUAGACUGCGAGUCGUGCGUCUCUAAGCCAUGGUAGAGGCGCGGCGUACGGCUCAGUAACACGUGGUUAACCUACCCUUAGGACGGGGACAACCCCGGGAAACUGGGGCUAAUUUCUGAUAGGUGAGGAGGCCUGGAAUGGUUCUUCGCCGAAAAGGCGUUGAAACCACGCUUUUCAACGUCGCCUAAGGAUGGGGCCGCGCCCGAUCAGGUUGUUGGUGAGGUAACGGCUCACCAAGCCUAUAACCGGUACGGGCCGUGAGAGCGGGAGCCCGGAGAUGGGCACUGAGACAAGGGCCCAGGCCCUACGGGGCGCAGCAGUCGCGAAAACUCCGCAAUGCGCGAAAGCGUGACGGGGCUACCCCGAGUGCCGUCCGCUGAGGAUGGCUUUUCCCCGGUGUAAUGAGCCGGGGGAAUAAGGAGAGGGCAAGACUGGUGUCAGCCGCCGCGGUAAUACCAGCUCUCCGAGUGGUAGGGACGAUUAUUGGGCUUAAAGCGUCCGUAGCCGGCUUAGCAAGUCUCCUGUUAAAUUCAGCGACUCAAUCGUUGAGCCGCGGGAGAUACUACUAGGCUAGGAGGCGGGAGAGGUCGACGGUAUUCCCGGGGGAGGGGUGAAAUCCUAUAAUCCCGGGAGGACCACCAGUGGCGAAGGCUGUCGGCUAGAACGCGCUCGACGGUGAGGGACGAAAGCUGGGGGAGCGAACCGGAUUAGAUACCCGGGUAGUCCCAGCUGUAAACGAUGCGGGCUAGGUGUUGAGGUGGCUACGAGCCACUUCAGUGCCGCAGGGAAGCCAUUAAGCCCGCCGCCUGGGGAGUACGGUCGCAAGGCUGAAACUUAAAGGAAUUGGCGGGGGAGCACCACAAGCGUGAAGCUUGCGGUUCAAUUGGAUUCAACGCCGGG
rnacentral:rRNA from 1 species